rnacentral:rRNA from 1 species
UACGUAGGGGGCAAGCGUUGUCCGGAAUUAUUGGGCGUAAAGAGCUCGUAGGCGGUUCGGUAAGUCGGGUGUGAAACCCCCAGGCUCAACCUGGGGACGCCACCCGAUACUGCUGUGACUAGAGUCCAGUAGGGGAGUGUGGAAUUCCCGGUGUAGCGGUGAAAUGCGCAGAUAUCGGGAGGAACACCAGCGGCGAAGGCGGCACUCUGGGCUGGAACUGACGCUGAGGAGCGAAAGCGUGGGGAGCAAACAGG